GUCUACGGCCAUACUACCCUGAACAAGCCCGAAACCGUCUGAUCUCGGAAGCUAAGCAGUGUCGGGCCUAGUAAGUACUUGGAUGGGAGACCACCUAGGAAGACCAGGUGCUGUAGGCA
rfam:Pteropus alecto contig83924, whole genome shotgun sequence.